rnacentral:misc_RNA from 1 species
AAUCCAUCUCUCCCUCUCCUUUGGACAUCUUGACAUAGGUUUCUGGAGGCAGAAACUUGCUUGUGGAGAUUUGUCUGUGAGCUGCCGGAGCAGGGGCCUUCCCGUGGGUGCUGGGCCGGCAGCGGCUCCGCCCUGCAGAGAGGAGGACGCGGCCCCAGUUGGUCUACGCCUUCUCCGUCGGCAGACCUGCUGGGUCUCGGGGCUGCCCCCCCUGCCCCCGCGGGCCCCCCACCCUCCUCCGGCGGCAGCGGGCUGCUCGUGGACGUGUUCUCAGACUCGGCCUCUGUGGUCGCGCCUCUCGCUCCUGGCUCCGAAGACAACUUUGCCAGGUUUGUUUGUAAAAACAAUGGUGUGUUGUUUGAAAACCAGCUGCUUCAAAUUGGACUUAAGUCUGAAUUUCGGCAGAAUUUAGGUCGGAUGUUUAUCUUUUAUGGUAAUAAGACCUCCACGCAGUUCCUAAACUUUACCCCAACACUAAUCUGUUCAGACGACCUUCAGCCUAACCUGAACCUGCAGACCAAGCCCGUGGACCCGACCGUGGAGGGGGGCGCGCAGGUGCAGCAGGUGGUCAACAUAGAGUGCGUGUCCGACUUCACGGAGGCGCCAGUCCUCAACAUUCAGUUCAGGUAUGGGGGCACCUUCCAGAACGUGUCUGUGCAGCUGCCCAUCACUCUCAACAAAUUCUUCCAGCCGACAGAAAUGGCUUCUCAGGAUUUCUUUCAACGUUGGAAGCAGUUGAGCAA